rnacentral:rRNA from 1 species
UACGUAGGUGGCAAGCGUUGUUCGGAAUUACUGGGCGUAAAGCGCGUGUAGGCGGCUCUUCAAGUCAGACGUGAAAGCCCCGGGCUUAACUCGGGAACUGCGUUUGAAACUGGGAGGCUAGAGUGCGGCAGAGGGGGGUGGAAUUCCACGUGUAGCAGUGAAAUGCGUAGAUAUGUGGAGGAACACCGAUGGCGAAGGCAGCCCCCUGGGCCAGCACUGACGCUCAUGCACGAAAGCGUGGGGAGCAAACAGG